GACGAACGCUGGCGGCGUGCUUAACACAUGCAAGUCGAACGGAAAGGCCCUGCUUUUGUGGGGUGCUCGAGUGGCGAACGGGUGAGUAACACGUGAGUAACCUGCCCUUGACUUUGGGAUAACUUCAGGAAACUGGGGCUAAUACCGGAUAGGAGCUCCUGCUGCAUGGUGGGGGUUGGAAAGUUUCGGCGGCAGGGGAUCGCCUCGCGGUGUAUAAGCUUGUUGGUGGGGUAGUGGCUUACCAAGGCUUUGACGGGUAGCCGGCCUGAGAGGGUGACCGGCUACCUUGGGACUGAGGUACGGCCCAGACUCCUACGGGAGGCAGCAGUGGGGAAUAUUGCACAAUGGGCGGAAGCCGGAUGCAGCAACGCCGCGUGCGGGAUGACGGCCUUCGGGUUGGAAACCGCUUCCGCCUGUGACGAAGCGUGAGUGGCGGUAAUGGGUAAAGAAGCACCGGCUAACUACGUG
rnacentral:rRNA from 1 species